rnacentral:lncRNA from 1 species
AUGUAACAAAAACUUCUACUAGGUCUAAUAAAAUGGGAGCACUUUUCAAGGCAAUGUUUUUUUGUUUUUUUUUUUUUGGGUGGGGGGGUGGGGGGGUGGGUGGGUUAAAUUGUCAAUGUCAUUUAUAUCAAUGUACAACUUCUUAACUUUUAAGUAUAACAGAAGUACAGAACAACCUUUUUACUGUACACACACACACCGAGAGAGCGCGACAAGGGCUAAUGCUUUUUAUCACAUUUGAUCAUGGUAUAUUGACAAGAAACUCGGUGCAAUCAAUACAAGUUAUUUUACAAGCCAAGGUAGAACUUGAAGAAGCUUGAAAGCACAUGGAUUUAAAGUCAACUGACAAAGAACAAUACUGGUUAAGGCCAAAGGUGAUGAAAACUUAGGCAACAGCUACAAUUUCUAGCAAGUGAACAUGACUCUAUCUCAAAAGGUCACAACCUCUUAAUUGUACAAGGAAUAUGGGCAUGGUGCUACAAAGCAAAAUUGUGCUGGGAUUUUAGUUUUCAACAGAUCAGAAUGGUUGUCAUUUGGACCUUUCUACACAAAGAUAUGAUCAAUUCUAACAAAGUCACUCCAUACAGCGUUACAGCACACGCUGCAAUCGCAGGCUAAGGUGGUAUUCCAAUGCAAGAUUGGGUCACUCCGGCGAUGUACUUGGAUCAACCAUUGUAUUUCUCCCACAAGAUAUGUGAAUUCUAGAAUUUGAUAACUGAAAGAGAGGAGAAAAGGUCAGCAAGGUGGCAGAGAGAUACUAAUCCAAAGAGCGAAGGAAACACUGAUUGAUAAUAGCUCUUGCUUUACCACCCUGCUGAGGGAAGGAAAACUGAUAAUGAGCACUUUAUCUAGUAUACUUCCAAACAUAAUGCAGAGUGAGGAUAUGUUUUGAAGUUGAGGAGGAACUUACUGGAUUGGGAAGUUGACGAAUUUCAGGACUUAGUUUAGAUACUUUAUAAGCAGAAUCUCACCGACGGUUCAAUCUUUCGAAAGCAAGGACAAAGCAAAGGAAUUUUUCACAGUUAAGGAUUUUUAUUACAUAUAACUGAGGCUGGACGACCUGGCUUUUUGUCAUGCCUCAGUACGAGUCCACGGGAGCCUAGAAAAAGUGCUUCCGUUGGUUGGCAAUAUGGGGGGCUAUCUUUUGCUGAGAAUUUGAGGAAAAGGAAGAUGACUCAUAUUAACAGCCUAACAGGUGCUACGUUUAAGAGGUUGGGUAAAGCUAUGGACCACAUGCUGCUACGCUGUCAGGUUGCACACCAAUUAUGGAGUACAAUUAAGAACCUGUUUGGUAAUGCCUACACCCCCACCCCCGAAAACAGAGGCCAUGCUGACAUCAUAUUUAAGCUGCUUUUACAUUGACAUCGUCCCAUUCAUCACGGAAAUGUCUAUAAAUAAGUAGCAUAAGCCCUCCCAUCAAAAGAACGAAAAGUAGCAUAAAACCUACACCACAAUCUGACUCUUCUGAAGUUUAAGCUCUAAAUGAAUUUCACAAUAAGCACAUUACUAACACUCCUUAAUAGAAGCGAUAAGGUUGCCUUUCUUCUAAAGAUUACCCUCCAAGCCAGAAUUUUUUUGAUAAGUUGAAGUACCCUCCAAGCCAGAUCUUAAAACAUACGAAUUCUUUUGCACUCACGCCAAUAGAUAAUUAUAUUAAAACCAAAACUGUAAUUAAAUCCCACUGAGAGUUUAAAGCCUGACCGCCAUGAAGAGGUAAGGUUCCAAGCUUUUCUGUCCAAUUGAAGGUUUUCUAAGGCAGAUGAGGCAAGCAUUACAUCCUGCGGAAGCUCAUCAUUUUCGUAUCUCCAGUUGUAUUCAUCUUUCCUAUAUCCAGAUAUAGAUGAACCUGCCCUUCUGUCUAGAAUCUCAACAAGAUCAGAAAUUCAUGCACUUAUCUGGGAAUUAAUUACCAACAGGAAAAGAAAAGGGGGAAAAAAAAAGAUCAGCUAGACUACUUACCAGAUGACUGGGCAGCAGGACCUGACCUGUGGUGUAAAAUGGUACCAAGUCAAAUUUAAAUCAAAUGAGAGGGUAAGAGAAGAAGUGAUAAUGUUUUAUAUGUUAACCUUCCCAAUGGAGGUAAGCCUCCAGCAACUGAAGAUGAAGAAGGCUUCCUAAUGUUCCUAGCUUCAGUAUUGGAAAGAGAUCCAGCAUCUGGUGCAGUAAAUCUCCUUCCAGCCCCCAUUGCUUGAGAUAAAUUCUGCAAAAAAAAUAAAUUUUAGUAACAAUACUUGCUAUAAUUCCUAACCGCAGACUUCCAUAUUUACCCACAUUUUGAGAGAAUCGGUAUGGUCAUAGCAAGAUCUUUCUUAUUACAGCACAACCCACAAAAACGGAAUUGUGUAUAGAGAGGAAGUCGCAGCUAAGAAAUAGUACAGGAAACUGUUAUUUGCAAAUACUAUAUUUAAAAAAAAUUACACAUAUCAAACAAAAUAAUAAUAAUAAUAAUAAUCAUUUGUCAGACUAUAUUGACAUCUAAACUAAAAGAUUUUACCCAACCUCAUAUUUCAAGAAUCCUUCAAGAACAUCCAAAAGCAAGGGAGCGCUAUCACCAUUCCUGUUAAGAUCAUAUCCAUUCUUGCUGCUAAAUUCUUUUAGCUCAGAUUUCCACGAAUCCUUUGGCUACACAAUCACAUAACGGGUCCUUCAUAAGUAGAACAAGAUACUGACAAGAUUUUGCAAAGAACAGUAUAUAUUUGCUCGGGAGAAUCCCGUACAUGAUUACCAAAUUACACUCUGGCAAAUAAACUUUAAGUGAAUGGUUUAAUUGAGCCCAAUCCAAAUAUUCACAUAUAAGGGCAGUUAGUAGCCUUCCUGCACAUCAAGAGAGGGGAAAAAACAAAAGUUAAUACGAACAAGGAAAGUGAUCUACUAUAGGAGGAUGUAUCAAAUUUUAACACUUCUUAGAGCUAAAACACAUCAAUGCUGAUGCAUUGAUCAUUAGACAAACAGAGUGCAAUAACAGGUAUAUUAUCGUCACAAUUAGAUUCAGAUAAAAUAUGUCUAGGUACCUUCGGAAAAUUCUAAGGUAACAAGAGAAGUUUUUAAUUUGAAGGGAAUAUCCCUCAAAAUAUAGUAUCUUUUGUAAACGAAGUCGCUUUAUGCUUUCUGUAAAUCACAUGUGAAGAGGCAUAUCCAUGUCCCAUGAAACUUAAUAUCUUUAUUCUAGAGAGGAUUCUUUCUCCUUAAAGUUAAAUUUUCUAGAAUUCUUUUCAAAAUGAGGACUCUUUCCAGCAAAAGAAUUUGCAUUUAGAUAGUUCUAUCAUAUAUUAUUUUUUUGUAAUGGAAUUAAUCUGAUGUAUGAUGAGCAAAAGCCAUUAUGUUUCUCCCCUUCAUAUCUUUAUUUUUAAUAUUUGUAUACAAGUAAGGUCUGACCAAAACCUUCCACAUUGAUAGAUUUUAGUUCAAAAGAAAAUCAUAAUACGAGAAAUAGUAGGCGUCAAAAAGGGAUAAGGAGGCCAUAAAGGAAAUAGACAUUGCCUAACUCAAUCCCAAAAGGUUGCUCAUGAGAUGAGGAUUGUCAAAACAAUAUAACAAAAAUCCAUUCCUCAACCAAUGUGAGACACUCUAACACCCUGCACAAUAUAAUUUGGUUGGAAAGGCCAUUUGAAGAAGAAGAGGUACUGGAAAUUAUCAAUUCUAGUGCACCUGAAUCCUGAUAAAGCAUAUGGACCAGAUGGCUUUACUAUGGCAUUCUAUCAAAAGGCAUGGAGAAAUAAAGAAUGGCAUUCUGCGAGCACUUGAAUCUUCCAUCAGAACGGGCAGACGAUCAGAAGCUGUAAUGCCACAUUUAUUGCUUUAAUACCAAAGGAAGAAGGUGCAGUAAAAUUGAAGGAUUUCAGGCCUCUUAGUUUGAUUAGUAGCAUUUACAAUAUAGCUGCCAAAUCUCUAGCUGAAAGAUUGAAGAAAGUGAUCAGCAAACUUGUUUGUGGAUAUCAGGACGUAUUUAUUCAGGGAAGACAGAUAACUGAUGCUGCCCUCAUAGUGAAUGAAGUUUUUGGUUGGGGACUGAAAAAAGGAGAAAAAAGGAUCCUUUUGCAAAUUGGAUGUAGAAAUGACUUUUGACCAUUUAGAUGGUCCUUCCUAUUGCAGGUACUACAAAAGAUGGGCUCUAUAAAAUAGAGUCCCCAGAACAAUAUGUAAACUAGAGUGAUACCAAAAAAAAUUCUAAAACCAAAAACAAACUUGGAAAGAAUAGAUUAAAGAGAGGAAAAAAACUUAAUGAAGCAUAAAGAAGAAAUAUGCAAGCGUUGAGGAAAAAGCUCUUGCUUUGUAGUUUGCACUUUGCAGACCAAGGGCCAAAAAGUAUUUGUUACAAAACAACAAAGAGAACAAACAAACCAGCUUUUAAGCCAUUUUUAACUUCUGGAAGCGUUUGGCAACCAAAAAAAGGGCUUAAAAAAAGCUAAAAUCUGCUUUAAAAAGGGCAAAACCAAUAAGUUGGGUAACCCAACUUUUUCAAAAUUGGCUUAAAAGCCAUAUUGUUUUGACCAAGGAUAUUACUUUCUUGUCCAUUAUAAGUUUUCAUAAUACCAAAUUUACCCUCAGUCAAAUAAAAUCCUAAAACCUCGUGUUUCUCCUCUUUUCUACACUUAUGAAGACAACAAUCAUCUUCUUUCCUCUUCCUCUUUGCUUCAUCUUCAUUUGUCUGCAUUUUUGGUAUGUGUUCAUGCCAAAAUCCACUCUAAAUCAAAAAGUUAACUCAAAUACAAAGAGAAAGCUUUGGAAAAGAAAGAGCAAGAUCCGUAAAUUUUAAAAGAGAACAUAUGCGAAAAGAAGAAAAAACAGAACAUAAAUAGCAAACCCUUUGAAUUUGACAACAACGUUGCCACUAGCUGCUGCUAGAUCUCUAAUGAAUUUGAGUUACUUAAGUUUUGAGGUUGGCCAAUCAAACCUAAGCCUGAAUAAAAAUUAUCUAAAGUAAUCAAUUAAAUUAAAAUAUAAUUUUUUUUGGAUUAAUUCAUAAUUAAAUAAAUUGUAGUAAUCAACUACUUUAUUAUGUUAACUUUAAGGAUAUUUCUGUCUUUUUAACAGAAAAAGUGCUUACCAACACUUGUUUACCAAACACUUAACAACUUUUUUUUAAGCUUCAGCACUUUUAUCCAAACAGGUAACUGCUUAUUUAUAAAAUAAGCUCCAACACUUAAAAGCUACUUUUUUCCAGCUAAUCCAAACGGGCUCUAUGAAAUUAGAAAAAGCUUUUUGACUUUUGAGUUCUUCUGGUUUGAAAAUUUACUAUGAGUUAACUUCUGAGUAUUAUCAUACUAAAAAAGAUAAUUAAGCAAUUUUGGUUCCAAUUUGGAAAUGUUAUCUGGGCGCACGCCCCAAAUGAACACCCAAAAAGUUGGAACUUACGCCUAAGCGAAUGCCCGGAGGAUUGGGACUUAUGUUGCACGAUACUUAUGCCACGCUAGUACGCCUCGGUGCAUUUUUACCCUGGGGCUCUCAGCGAAACUCGUUCAGAAAAUGCCUUUUAAGACACAAAUGCAGAGUUCAAGUACAUGCUUAACUUUGCUGAUAGAUGACACUCUCUAGGACUUUCUCUAAGACUCUUUUAAUAUAAAGUACUGGAAAUUGAUUUUGGGGAUGGUACUUUGUAGUUAUUUUAGAUAUCAAAUUUCAUCACAACUUACAAACUAAAUCAGUUUGAAACAGGAAAGUAAUAUCAUGCUUCACAAAACAAGGCAUCAAAAGCCAAAUCAUGAAUUAUUAAAAAAAAGGUGUAGCCAUUUGCAAGCAAGAUUUAGAUUUAUCAUGCGGGAGGUUCACAGCAGUAGAUCCUAAAACAGAUAUUUAGAUUGAACUCCCAUGUCCUAAACGACCAAAGGUCAAUACGUACAAUAGAUUGAGACUUUUAACAAGUGGUCUGCUGCAGUACUUUAAAACAACUCAGCUUUCUGAUAUAUUACCAAAGUCAGAUAGAAUUCUUCUAGACAAGAUAAGUAUGUCUUACCUUCCAUCUUUAACACAAACAUUUGCAAGGAUUUAUAACCAGAAGAAUAACAAAACGGACAAAAACAUUAAAAUGACCUGAAGGUGAAUUAUGGAGGUGUUUUGCCUGAUCAUUGCAGCUACCCAAUAGUGCAGGGGGCAAGCCUUCAUCCUUCUCAAUUACCUUAUCCUCCUCUUCAAUUGCCUCGAAAACACUCGCUCUAAGUUCAGCCUAAGAAACGUCACACCGUAAAAUAUGUAAAAUUGUAAAAUUAUCUCAUAGGGUAUGCAAUCUACAACAAAAAAAGAAUGAUCCAACUAAAAGGAAGGGAAGCAAAUGUGACAUAACAAUUGGAGAUCAUCAGUUUUUAGUUUUUUCUACGAUUCUCGAGCAUUAAAUAUCCAACCUGGUACACAUUCACUUUCAGCCUUUUUCUAACUCUAUUUCCUCUUCUUUUUUGUACAUAAACGAAUUCUCUUGUCAUCUUCUUGAGCCGAGCGUCUAUCGGAAACAGCCUCUCUAUGCCCCAGGGUAGGGGUAAGGUAUGUGUAUACACUACCCUUCCCAGACCCCACUUGUGGGAUUAUACUGGAUUGUUGUUGUUGUUAUUGUACAUAAAAGAAUUAGUGCGAUGCGAGUGGAAAAAUGAGUUGAAUAUCUUUAUCUUGUAAGCAUGAAAUUUGAUAUUUCUAUAAGCUGCUGUUACAGUCAAUCCAAAAGUUCCACUUUGAAGCAUAGACAAUUCUCACUACCCAUGAAUUCUGCACUGAACAUUUUCUUUUUCUUUUUUUAAUUUUAUAAAUAAAUAGUCUUUUAAAGCAUAGAUAGAUAACUACCAGAUCGGAUCCUAGCAUCAUUUUAGGUCAAGUAAAGGAGAAAUUAGAAGAGAGCACAUAUAAAAAAGGAAAAUGCAGAGGAGAUAAAGUGGGGAAAAUAGUAAAUACUCGGAUCUUGGCGAGGACGCCUUUCUUCUCCAGGGUUCGAGUGACUAGGGUUUUGAGGUCCAUCAUUUCUCUUGUGUAAUCGUCCAUUUCUGUAGAUAUUGAAAUUCUUCUCUACUUUCGGGCUACACUCUGCUAAGAACUAGAAAUGUUGCUCUUUUGUAAGGAAAGGCCGCUCCGUUUUGCCCUCUCUCUGCGGAUUUUUUGGUUCUACUGCCAAAUUUUGAACGAAAAUGGUUUGUUUGGACAAUAUUUGGAUUCUAACUUGACACCAUUUUUCAUUUUGGCACUCUAUCUCUAACUUGUUUCAUUUUGGUCCUCCAAUUCUAUUUUAUAUGUUCCAUUUUGGCCCUCCAACUCUAUUUUUUAAAUUCCAUUUUAACACAAAAGCUAAAAUCAGUGCAAAAAAUAUAAUGCGCAUGCAUACACAAAUUUGAGGUAUAACAAAUAUCCAAUUAAAUAUUGCCACCUGAUUUUUUCACCCAUGUCAAACGGGUCAAUAUUAAAAUACCAGAACCCGAUCAUAUUUUUUAUUGGUUUAUUUUAUCUAAACGGGUCAGGUAUGAAAUCGACAGAUAAAAGCUUUGGAACUUAGAGAAUGAAGAUGAAGCAACAGUGGAUGGAAAUAUACAAUCGGGUUAGGGUAUUUUAGUAUUGACCCGUUUGACAUGGGUUAUAAAACCAAGUGUUAAUAUUUAAUUGGAUAUGUAUUACACCUCAGAUUUUUGUAUACACACGCACUAUAUUUUUACACUGAUUUCAGCUUUUGUGUUAAAAGUAGAACAUAAGAAAUAAAGUUGGAGAGCCAAAAUGGAACAUAUAAAAUAGAGUUGGAGGGCCAAAAUGGAACAAGAUAUAAAUAAAGUGUUAAAAUAAAAAAUAGUGCCAAGUUGAAUGGUAUGUAUAUAUGUAUUUGGCCUAUUUGGUUAAAGUUGAAUCUGUGAUACUUUACAUUCUGAGUUUUAAAUUAUUUGCACAGACAUUGUUAACAAAUACUCCUAUUUUGUAAUCGAACAUAGAUUCCCAAAUAUUUUUUUUGAAAAGUAAUCCCAGAAAAAAUUAAGUUAUAUUUGGAUUUUAAAAUUUUAGUUUUCAAAAUCUCCCAAAAACUAGAUUAAUUCUAUAAGCAAACACAUAUUUAAAAAAAAUUGAAAAGAAAACUUCCAAAACCUAUGGCCAAACACCUACUAAUUGUCAUGAUUACUAAAAUAAAUAGUCCAAAAUAUUUAUUACUUUAGAAAAUUAAGAUUUAAUUAAUUAUUUUUUCUUUAUUUUAUCCUUAGUAUUAUUGUUCGUAAAUAUAAAUAAUAUUGAGAUUAAAUUAUUUGCACAGUCAUUGUAAUUUUCUAAUAAAUAAUUUAAUUGAAUGAAUUUUUUUUAGGUACAGAAUAUACACUCAUAUAUUUUACAAUUUCACAAUAAUGGAGAAUAGUGUGAACACCAAGCUUCAGGACUUGAAAGAGAAAUAUAAGUUUAUUAUAUCUUUUUUUUUCACUUUAUAUGAUAUUAGUACUAUUUGAGAAGUUAAAUAACUUUUUCUUACUACAACUUUUUGAUACAUUAUUUAAAUAUUCUUAAUAUAAAAGAUGCAAUUUUUAGUAUAUUUUUAUGUAGUUUCUUAUUGUCUAAAUUUUAUUUUAUUAAGACUGUGAAAUCGAUGUCCUAAUUAAGAGCGAAAAUUAGAAGGUCUGGUCAUCGUACUCUUUUUGUAACAGAGAGUAAAAUUUUAUUAAUGAUUAAAUAUGAAGUAGUAUUAUUCUUUAACAUAUGAAGAGUCAUAAAUUAGGUAAGUGCAACUUUUAGUUUGAGAUUUCUAAAUAUGCAUAUUACUUGAAGUUGUUUUUGAGUUACUCCUAUAAGUUAUGUGUAAUCGUAGAGUCAAUUGGUGAUUCUAAUUGAAUUGAUCAUGUGGGUGAUUUGUGUGGAUUUUCCUUCUUUAGGUUUUUUCUUUUUGGACGAUAGAUUUAUUUUAUUUUGAUAAUCUCAUGUGUUUCUCGUUAACAUGUACAAAUCUAUGAUGUGCUUUGCUUGUUUCACAGUGAAGGGAAUUUUAGAACAAUGGUCAAGUUGUUUCCGCGUGAUCUAUAGGUAGGUCGCAUAUAUCACACCCUAAAAGCCCUUUCCCGGACCCUGCAUGAAAGCAAUACUUUCUGCACCGAGCUGUCUUUUUUUAAAUAUAUUUAUAUAUAAUGAAAAUGAAAUUUACUUUGUUGAUUAUGAAAGUAAGAAUUUUUGGGAACAAAUAACAAAACAAUGAAGUCAACAAGCGAUUGACAAGAUGGAACAAGGCAGGAGCCAAGAAGAGUUAGAAACUUGAGUAAAGAGUAAUACAUUCUAUCAAAUAAAUCGUGACUCAACUUUAUAGAUUCGUAUCUCUGAAUAUAACAGUUAGUUUGUUUAUGAUUUGACUCUCAUAAUAUUUGCCUCUCCUACAUUAGGUUUUGAUCUUCGCGACUCCAGCUAAAAUAUGGUUGUAGUAAUUAUUUAGAGUUGAAAUAAUCACCAUUUUUGUUAUGUUUUAAAUUGGGCCAAAUACAUUGAUAGCCCCUUAAAUCAUACAUUGAGCUUAAUUGUUGUACUGCGCUCAAGAGCAGGAAGUUAAGGUAUGUGAGGCUAACUCUCUAUGUUUGAGAAUGUUAACAAUUCUCCCUUACUACGUUUCUUUUACGACGUUACUAAUUGCCUCAAAAAUAUAGUUAAACUUAGUUCCUUGAAUAGUUGCAGAACUUCUAUUAUCUACCUUCAUAACUCAUUCAUGACUUUCAUUUUGAACAUUGUGAGCUCAGUGCGUAAUCACUAUAGACUUGGGUUUGAUACCCAUGAGUCUCGGUCUAGAUUUCUCAGCAUGUCAUAAACAAUUGAAGUUUUAGUUUUCAUAAUCAGUUCAAGAAUACAUGUCUCAGUCUAGUCCAAUUCAGUAUUCCAGUAUCUCGUAACUCAAUAUGAUUCAGUAUUUCAGCAUCACAUAUUGCAGUAUGAUUNNNNNNNNNNNNNNNNNNNNNNNNNGGUCCCGGGCUCAAACGGUCCCGGGCUCGUGGGCUCAUAUUAGAAGACCGGCCCGUCACGGGCUUCUGAGGACCACCAGGACCGGCCCACCAGGCCCGCGGGCCCGGUCCGGUCCGGUUCAGGCCCGGCCCACCGAGCAGCCUCAUUUCAAUUACUCAGUUAUCAGUUAUCAUUUCAACUAUCAGUUAUCGGUUAUCAUUUCAGUUAUCAGCUAUCAGUUAUCAUUUCAGUUUCAACAAUUAUCAUUUCAGUUAUCGGUUCAAGAUUAGUUUCAGCAUUUAUGUUGGCUAGACAGAGUCGCAGGCUUUUCAUAUUAAGCUAUGUUGGCUACACAUAUGCUUCAGAAUUGUAUUAGCAUUUCCGCACUUUGAUUUAUAUCAUCCAUACUUCCAGUAUAUCAGCAUGUGUUAGUUUAUCUUCUGCAUUCAGGAUGUUAUGAUAUCACAUGUUGAUUCAGCCAGCCAGUUGGUUCGUUCAGGCACGGGUGCCGUGUUACGUCCAGGCCCAGGUUCGGGGCGUGACACAACCAAAUUGAAAAAGAUUACGAUAAAGUUAAAUAUCAAUUGUUUAGCAUCGUCUUUUCAGGAUUACGCUCAUUGGCAAGGAAAAGUAUGCCUUAGAGCCUUGAUGACGACUUUGAAGCGCCCGAAUGCAAAGCGCACAUGUUUUGCGCCUUGCUUCAGUGCUUAACCGCGCCUUUGACAACACUAGCUUCAGAAUAAUUAGUUUUAGUUACAUAUCCUCUAAAAUUCUUGGUUUAAACUCCUUAUCAUACGUAGAGGGAGCCUGCCAUUCAUCUAAUAAGUUAGAUUGGCACAAACAAUUCUAAUCCUUCUGCACAUAUAAAUGUUCAUGAGAUCAACAACAACAACAACAAACCCAGUGUAAUCUCACAAGUGAAGCCUAGGGAGGGUACCUUACCCCUACUAUUUGAAGGUAGAGAGGAUGUUUCCGGUAAAUGUUCACGAGAUCCCCAACAAAGAAAAUGUUCAUGAGAUGAGAUACAGAAGAGUUCAUGCAACAUGCUUGACGAGUAACUAAACCUUAAGGGAUCCGAACUCUGGAGAAUUUGCCAAAAUUAUAUUCAUAACACAAAUAUAUGCUGAGAUGAAAACUUCAGUUGAGAUGGCAGAAAUUCAUCUUUGAAAGUAGGUAAAACAAAAUAUGGUACAAGAAUGGCAAGUCAAACAAGAACCAGCAAUGGAACCUGGCAAAGUUAGAAACAGACAAGAAAUGAGAUGUACAUGAAUUUGUACCUACCACCAACAGAGAAACUGCACUAUUUUAAAAAAAAGAAGAGAAAGUUCAAUCAUUUUCAAGUGAAGGCAGAACUGAUAGUUGGUAGCAGUAGAGGAGAAAUCUUAACAUCAUAUAUAUAUAUUAGCUGAGACAUCAAAUUUCUUUUAUUGCAGCGGAGCAGUAAAAGAUGAGGUCAUAUUGUAAAGGUUGGCCAAACCUAUGGUCAUCAACAUUUUCUUGUUUUUCCAUUUUUUGAAUGGGAGCCUUGGAGCAAAAGUAAAGUUGUCUCCAAGUAAUCUAUAGGUCACGGGUUCAAGCCCCGGAAGCAGCCACUAAUGCUUGCAUUAGGGUAGGCUGUCUACAUCACACUCCUUGGGGUGCGUCCCUUCCCCGGACUCUACGUGAAAGCAGAUGCCUUGUGCACCGGGUUGCCCUUUUUUUAAGCUAAAAAAACAAGCAGCAUACUGCAAAGGUAACAUCUCUUCAUCACCAUUUCAGACUAGGCCUUAGCUUAUGCUGAUUUCUCACAUUAACAUCAGAAUGAUUCAAACUAAUAACUUGUGAUUAGUCCCUUUUCUUCCCAUUAUGAGGGAAUAAUCUUACCCUCUCUUAACUGCGGAUCAUCAGUAGAACUGUGCAUCUCAUAGAAUCCGAAGGUCCCAAUAUGUCAAGUGGAUAUAAAUCUUUGGCAUGAUCAAGAAUGGUAAAUUGUCCUUGUACGCCUACUACUUGGUCAUGUCUAAAAAUAAAAACAAGGCGUAGUUAUCAAAUUUGGCUUGCAACAAUAAACCUGAUGCCUAUCUGCGCAACCAUGUAGCAGAAUCCAAAUUUCCAAAGCUUGAACAAACACUGCUUUUUCUCAACAAUGAUCAGGUCCGCUCUGACAUAGAAUUAAACUAAAAGUUCCUUCACUCAGUGAAAGCCAUCCGGCUAACACAUUUGCUCAAAAAUCUAGAGAAUCCUAAUCCGCCGAGCCUCCAAAGGAGGCAGCUUUUCUAAAGCAGAAAUAAAGGCAUGCUUUGACAUAGAACAGAACUCAGAUUUUGUUCACUCAUUCAAAACCAGAUAAACACAUUGCUCUCUUUUCCUCCUAACACUAUUCCAAACUAAGAGGCCUUUAACUAAUUCCAGAAAACAACACUGAAGUUGUAAAAGAAUGUUCUUCAUCUAUCACAGAAACUAAUCCAUCCAUUCCAAAACCAAAAGGCACGAAACAUAUUUUAAAGAGAAAUUAUCCACCAUAUUAUAGGCACACAAAACUAAAAGUUACUCUUGAAAUGCUGGAAAGGGAAAAGAGGAGGAAAGGGAUUGUGCGCCAAAGCGAGAUGAUUCAACCUUUUCAAUUACAAAGUAGAAGUUGCAUCUCACAAUAGGUAGGUCGGGACACUGGCUUCCUUUAGUAAAAUUUUACUCUUCUAUUUGACAAUACGGGAAGGGGAGAUUUUGGUGCAACGGUAAGACUUAGGUUCAAAUCGUGGAAACAGCCUCAUGCAGAAAUGUAAGCUACGGUUACCUACAAUAGACGCAAUGUGGUCCAGCCUUUCCCUAAACUCUGCAAAUAACAAGAGCUUAGUGCACCGAGCUAACCUUUUUCAAUUUAACAAAUAUACUGAGCUGGGGCAGGAAGACAAAUUAUCUUCUUGGAUCAAUAAUAAUGGAAAGUGCAGAAACUACAUGUCACAGUUAUGAACUAACAAAUUUUAUCCACCUAAAAUAAGAACACAAAUCAGAAGAAAUUGCAGUAAUCAAUUACCAUUCUACCAAAUAUUAAAUUUACAAAAAUUCCAUGUCCAAACAAAAUUUCAAAUUUUGAAUCAAAUUAACAUAACAUUAAACAUACCAUAUCCAAGAAAUUACAACGAAACUAUUGACUUCCGCCUUCUUCCUCCAAUUUCUUAACAUAAGCUUUAAGCACCAUAACCAAAUUCCUAGCUGGAGCUUGAAUAGUUCCAACAACAGCCGAAGCCGGUCCUUUCAAAGACCCAAGAAGCUGUGAAUAAAUCUCAGCCCGUGUAGGUAAAGUUUCAAGAGCCUUAAAUUCCUCAGGUCCAUAAAAUUUCCCUUCAAAAACAGCACCAGUAAAAUCAUUAUCCUCUAAUUUCUUUUCCUUCUGGAAUGUUCUAUAAGGUUUUAAAGCAGCUGGAAUUUCCUCACUAUGUACAAAUAACCACGCAUUCAUUCCUUUCAUACAUGGCUUUAACGCUUCCCAUUUCGUACCUUCAAUUGCUUUAAGUACUAAAGUGUUUUUAGCGACGAGAAGUUUUGUAGUAUCAGGCAAUUGAGAUCUCAGUUCUUGAAAUUGUUUGACUGUUAAGCCCUUGUAACUGAUUCCAGCUAAAAGGUAACAAUCUUCGAGCUGUUGUUUUACAGUUUCGACUGUUUCUUCUUUCUUGGUUCGGCUAAUAGCUGAACGAAUGGUUAAAUUUUUGGACUUGGGUUUGAAAUGGGGGUGGGUGGGGAGGGUGAGGGGGUUGUUGAAGUGGGAUUUGAGGGAGAAAGGGUAGGAGUGAGAGGUUGAAGAGGGUAAGGUGAAGAAAGUAGCCUCCAUUGAUGAAAGCUUGAGAAUUUCGAUUGGGAGAGAGAGAUAAG